AUUAACUGAAAAGGCAAAGCAUCUCUUUCCUUCCCAUUCUCUCCUCCAAGAAACCAAACUCAAAUCAAAACCGACAAGCAAAUAAACAAACCCAAUAAAGACGAACGAAAAAGAAGAGGAAGGUUCUUCCUAUAAACAGUGUGAAGCUCCUUCAUGAAGCUUUAAUUCUUUCUAUUGUUUCUGGAUAAAUAACAUAUAUCCUGCAACUGCAAGCUACACCCAAGAUUCAUAAAGAUUAAAGAAUUAAUGGAUCAAUCUCCGAAAGACCCCUACUACAGUGAAAACACCGCCAGAAGGGUUAAUUCCGCUUCCUCCUUCUCCUCCGUUUCCACCACCAGGGUCCACGUGACUGCUCUCGAUGGCCUUGUCAACGUCAAUUCCCUUUUCACAAUUGCUGUCUUUGUGGGACUCUCUCUCACCACCCCAGGCCAGCGCAGCCUCGAGAAUCGCUCAGCCUGUGACGCUGGCAUCGACGUGGCAAAANNNNUCGUCUUUGAGGUUGUGUCCUUCAGCUUCUUCCUCUUUUCCUCUCUAAUCGCUCAAGGCCUGAAACUGGCGAUCAAUUUGUUGAACAGCAAAGACGUGGAUGAGGCGUUCAGAGCCCAUAUUAAUCUAAACGUAUUGAGAUUUGGGAUGAUGGGUUCAGCGGUGGGGUCGGUGAUGGGUUGCAUCUUUUUGGUGCUUUCAAUGGUGAAUGUGAUUGAGAUUCGGUUGGGGAUGUUGUCUUGUGGGAGUAAGAGCGCGGUUCACGCGGUUACAGCAUUGGUCCUUCUGGUUUCUUCUGCUCUCUUAAUUUAUAUUUCCACUACUGUUUAUGCUUUUCUCCACUGAUUACUUUUACACAAGGGUUCUCAACUGUGAACUUGAACUAUGUGUGUAAGCUUGUGGAAAUGAGAUUAUGCUAUGAUCUGUUGGAGAAUAUAUGCUCACAGCUCAUUUUGGAUUGUUGGGUAAGCUCAUUUGGUUUGCUGGGUAAGCUC
rnacentral:misc_RNA from 1 species